rnacentral:lncRNA from 1 species
CACCAUUCUCAUCCAAUCUAAAGUCUCCACCUUUACCUUGAUUAACCAACGUCACUCGGUCCACGAGUUCCAAAUCUUCCUUCUGACCAUUCUUGAUCUCUUCCAAUAUAUUGUUUGUCAACAUCAACAUACCCAACCUCACACCAGCAGGUGUCAACUCACUAACCAAACUCAAAUCUCGAAACAGCUCAAUCAAUUCCAACUCUUUAACCAUCAAAGCAGACAUAUGCAAAAUCUUACUACUCAAAGCAUCCGCAAC